rnacentral:rRNA from 1 species
UACGUAGGGGGCUAGCGUUGUCCGGAAUUAUUGGGCGUAAAGGGCUCGUAGGCGGCUUGUCACGUCGGGUGUGAAAGCCCGGGGCUUAACCCCGGGUCUGCAUUCGAUACGGGCUAGCUAGAGUGUGGUAGGGGAGAUCGGAAUUCCUGGUGUAGCGGUGAAAUGCGCAGAUAUCAGGAGGAACACCGGUGGCGAAGGCGGAUCUCUGGGCCAUUACUGACGCUGAGGAGCGAAAGCGUGGGGAGCGAACAGG